CAACAGGGAAAUGUAUCGUGUUUACCAUAUCUGGUCUGCCAUUGCACCUGGUAACGGAGGGUGUGUCAGGUACGUCAUUGUGUGGGAUGUGAGGUGUUGUCUUUACUUCUUAACUGUGGGUAAGCCUGGAAGUGUGCCAAACAGAGAUAGGUGCUUCGCACAGAAAGUAGACCCCGCAUUACGGUGUUUGCGAUCUUCACACAAUGACGCCUCAAAAUCUGACGCGCCAUAUGCAGUGCAGCAGGUUGUACUAAUAUCCGCAUCAGGUCUCUAAGGUGAGUAGCCUCUGGUACGUAGAUUCAUGUGAGUAAGGGAAGUCGGCAACUUGGUUCCGUAUCCUUGGGAAAAGGAAUGGCUCUGACGAUUGAGCGGUAAGGUCUCUGCGCAGAGUACCAGACAGAUGCGCGCGCUGCGAUGUUCUUCACCGGAUAUCAUGGCGAGCAGCAAAUGCCUUGUGAAUGUGUAGUGAUAGGAUCUUCCGGCUUGCCGCAACGAACAAUUACCUCAGAACCGAUACGAUCAAGGGGAAUCCGACUGUUUAAUCAAAACAAAGCAUUACGAUUCUCAUAGCUGGGUUUGACGUAAUGUGAUUUCUGCCCAGUGCUCUGAAUGUCAAGGUGAUGA
rnacentral:rRNA from 1 species